rnacentral:rRNA from 1 species
AUUGAACGCUGGCGGCAGGCUUAACACAUGCAAGUCGAACGAGUGGCGGACGGGUGAGUAAUGCUUGGGAAUCUACCUUAUGGAGGGGGAUAACUACGGGAAACUGUAGCUAAUACCGCGUACCAUAGGAUGAGCCCAAGUGGGAUUAGGUAGUUGGUGAGGUAAAGGCUCACCAAGCCGACGAUCUCUAGCUGGUCUGAGAGGAUGACCAGCCACACUGGGACUGAGACACGGCCCAGAGUCCUACGGGAGGCAGCAGUGGGGAAUAUUGCACAAUGGGCGCAAGCCUGAUACAGCCAUGCCGAGUGUAUGAAGAAGGCCUUCGGGUUGUAAAGUACUUUCAGUCGUGAGGCGUUACCGGCAGAAGAAGCACCGGCUAACUCCGUGCCAGCCGCCGCGGUAAUUC